rnacentral:rRNA from 1 species
UCCGUAGGUGAACCUGCGGAAGGAUCAUUACAGUAUUCUUUUUGCCAGCGCUUAAUUGCGCGGCGAAAAAACCUUACACACAGUGUUUUUUGUUAUUACAAGAACUCUUGCUUUGGUCUGGACUAGAAAUAGUUUGGGCCAGAGGUUUACUAAACUAAACUUCAAUAUUUAUAUUGAAUUGUUAUUUAUUUUAAUUGUCAAUUUGUUGAUUAAAUUCAAAAAAUCUUCAAAACUUUCAACAACGGAUCUCUUGGUUCUCGCAUCGAUGAAGAACGCAGCGAAAUGCGAUAAGUAAUAUGAAUUGCAGAUUUUCGUGAAUCAUCGAAUCUUUGAACGCACAUUGCGCCCUUUGGUAUUCCAAAGGGCAUGCCUGUUUGAGCGUCAUUUCUCUCUCAAACCUUCGGGUUUGGUAUUGAGUGAUACUCUUAGUCGAACUAGGCGUUUGCUUGAAAUGUAUUGGCAUGAGUGGUACUGGAUAGUGCUAUAUGACUUUCAAUGUAUUAGGUUUAUCCAACUCGUUGAAUAGUUUAAUGGUAUAUUUCUCGGUAUUCUAGGCUCGGCCUUACAAUAUAACAAACAAGUUUGACCUCAAAUCAGGUAGGACUACCCGCUGAACUUAAGCAUAUCAAUAAGCGGAGGAA